GCAUUAAUGGGGUAGUGGUAACCUGGGUCGUUGCCAUUGACAGUGUGUCGACCCGCCGGGGGUUCGAUUCCCCCUUAAUGCA